UACGUAGGGUGCGAGCGUUGUCCGGAAUUAUUGGGCGUAAAGGGCUCGUAGGCGGUUUGUCGCGUCGGGAGUGAAAAUCCAGGGCUUAACUCUGGACUGGCUUCCGAUACGGGCAGACUAGAGGUAUGCAGGGGAGAACGGAAUUCCUGGUGUAGCGGUGAAAUGCGCAGAUAUCAGGAGGAACACCGGUGGCGAAGGCGCUAAUCUGGAACAAGACUGACGCUCAAGAUCGAAAGCAUGGGUAGCAAACGGG
rnacentral:rRNA from 1 species